rnacentral:misc_RNA from 1 species
AACCUAGCACACCUGCGGUGUGUACCUGCGGAAGGAUCAUUACCUAGAGUUGUAGGCUUUGCCUGCUAUCUCUUACCCAUGUCUUUUGAGUACCUUACGUUUCCUCGGUGGGCUCGCCCACCGAUUGGACAAAUUUAAACCCUUUGCAGUUGAAAUCAGCGUCUGAAAAAACUUAAUAGUUACAACUUUCAGCAACGGAUCU